CAGUCGCCGCGGGAAUACGUAGGUGGCAAGCGUUGUCCGGAAUUAUUUGGCGUAAAGGGCUCGCAGGCGGUUUCUUAAGUCUGAUGUGAAAGCUCCCGGCUCAACCGGGGAGGGUCAUUGGAAACUGGGAAACUUGAGUGCAGAAGAGGAGAGUGGAAUUCCACGUGUAGCGGUGAAAUGCGUAGAGAUGUGGAGGAACACCAGUGGCGAAGGCGACUCUCUGGUCUGUAACUGACGCUGAGGAGCGAAAGCGUGGGGGGCGAACAGGAUUAGAUACCCGAGUAGUCCCUGUCUCUUAUAC
rnacentral:rRNA from 1 species